ensembl:lncRNA
UGACAAAAGGGUUUUAGGCCUAUCUCACAACGAGUGUGUUGUAGACAGACGUGUCUGGGUCACCUGUAGUAUUUUCUCAAGUUGCAUAUCCUGUGUCUCCUGAAAAUUCACAGGCCAACUUUGGAUAAAUGCAGUAGACUGAGUGGCCAGAGAAAGCAACGGUCACUGACUUGCCUUGGUUAUACGUGUGGUAUUUCUCCGUUUGUGCGCACCUUUAUAGGCGCGUACACUCCUUGUGUACAGAUACGGAUAUCUAAAUGAGUAGUGUUCAGAGUAAAGGGGAGACGGGUGAUAACCAUGAGACUAAUAUCCUGCCACUAUUGUGUAAAUUUAUGUCAGAGCGUCAUCCUGGCAGUUUGAAUCAAAUACAAAAAUGGGUUGAAUUGGGGUUUCCUUCAAAGGGGAGUUUGAGUGAGAAUCAAUUGGAGCAUUGAUUGCACUUGCCGAGACAUGUAAAGCAGCUGAAGGUAAAACAGUUAACAUCUUCACUGAUUCACGUUAUUCUUCUGGUGCGGAGCUCUUUAGAGACACAGGGGGUUUCUUACGUCAUCUGGCAAGCCUAUUGCACAUCAUACCCUUGUGUUGGCUUUUCUGGAUGCCAUUUUACUACCCAGAGCCAUUGCAGUCAUUAAACGUGAAGCCCACACCUCUUCUCUUGACCCUGUAUCUGUAGGAAACAGGGGCGCGGAUGCGGCUGCGAAGAAGGCAGCCUCGCGGGGCUUCCUUUUCCCCCUGGCUCAAAUGCUUUCCACACCGACCGAUCCUAGUCCUUAUGCCGAUCUUUCAACACUUCGGCCUCUUGCCGGUGCACAGGAGCGUUCCCUGUGGAAACGAUCUGGUGCCAUUCUUGAGGGCGGAAUCUACACAGGGCCGGACAGUAGGCCCUGUUUGCCACGUGCUCUCUUCCACAUUUAUGCUAAGUUGUCUCACGGAAAAGAUCACGUGGGCAAAGGGGGGAUGUGCACUGCUAUAAAUGAGCAUGCUGAGAUAUUGUGCUAACCUCUCCCCUUCAC